GGCCCAGACUCCUACGGGAGGCAGCAGUGGGGAAUAUUGCACAAUGGGCGCAAGCCUGAUGCAGCAACGCCGCGUGAGGGAUGACGGCCUUCGGGUUGUAAACCUCUUUUAGCAGGGAAGAAGCGAAAGUGACGGUACCUGCAGAAAAAGCGCCGGCUAACUACGUGCCAGCAGCCGCGGUAAUACGUAGGGCGCAAGCGUUAUCCGGAAUUAUUGGGCGUAAAGAGCUCGUAGGCGGUUUGUCGCGUCUGCUGUGAAAUCCGGAGGCUCAACCUCCGGCCUGCAGUGGGUACGGGCAGACUAGAGUGCGGUAGGGGAGAUUGGAAUUCCUGGUGUAGCGGUGGAAUGCGCAGAUAUCAGGAGGAACACCGAUGGCGAAGGCAGAUCUCUGGGCCGUAACUGACGCUGAGGAGCGAAAGGGUGGGGAGCAAACAGGCUUAGAUACCCUGGUAGUCCACCCCGUAAACGUUGGGAACUAGUUGUGGGGUCCAUUCCACGGAUUCCG
rnacentral:rRNA from 1 species